rfam:Escherichia vulneris NBRC 102420 DNA, contig: EV10242008.
GGGCUUGACACUCUUUCCGCCUGUGCCCAUUGAAUAACCAACCCUAAAAAUACCGGCACGGCCACAAUUUCCCUGGUGUUGGCGCAGUAUUCGCGCACCCCGGUCUAUCC